rnacentral:sRNA from 1 species
ACUGCCUUUAAGACGGUCCAGAGAGGCCGAAAAGGACGGAUCACUUAUUUACUGCUUCUAUGCCUAUCUGUGCCCUUUUGCCCUCUGCGACAAAAGGGCUUUUAUGU